GCUAAACAGCUAGCUUAAACACCUAAAUCUACCCAACAACAUCAAUAUAUUUUAUAAACCCCCCCCCCCAGAAUUUAACUAAAACAUUCUACCGCCUUAGUACGGGCGACGGAAAAGGCACCCAUAAAGCAAUAUGAAAGUACCGCAAGGGAACGCUGAAAGAGAAAUGAAACAACCCAUUAAAGCACAACAAAGCAGAGAUCAACCCUCGUACCUUUUGCAUCAUGAUUUAGCAAGCCCAUCUGAGCAAAGCGUACUUUAGUUCAAGACCCCGAAACUAAGUGAGCUACCCCGAGACAGCCUAGUUAUAGGGCCAACCCGUCUCUGUGGCAAAAGAGUGGGAAGAUCUCCGGGUAGAGGUGACAGACCUACCGAACUUAGUUAUAGCUGGUUGCCUGAGAAAUGGAUAAAAGUUCAGCCUCGCACUCCUCAACUCACACAAAGUACACCUAACACAUGAGCCAGAGAAACAUGCAAGAGUUAGUCAAAGGGGGUACAGCCCCUUUGAUCAAGGAUACAACCUCUCCAGGAGGUUAAUGAUCAUACUAAACAAGACCACCGCUCUAGUGGGCCUAAAAGCAGCCACCUAAACAGAAAGCGUUAAAGCUCGGGCGGACCAAAAUCUAUUAUCUAGAUAUCAUAUCUAAAACCCCUAACCAUAUCAGGCCCUUCCAUGCCAACAUGGAAGAGAUUCUGCUAAAAUGAGUAAUAAGAAAGAUACCCCUUUCUCCUAGCCUAAGUGUACGUUAGAUCGGACCAACCACUAACAAUUAACGAACCCAACCCAAGAGGGCAAUGCAAUAAAAUAAAACAACAAGAAAAUCUCGCAUACCCCCAUCGUUAACCCCACACUGGAAGGCCUACCUAAAGGAAAGACUAAAAGAAAAGGAAGGAACUCGGCAAACACAAGCCUCGCCUGUUUACCAAAAACAUCGCCUCCCGCAAAAAUCAAUGUAUAGGAGGUCUUGCCUGCCCAGUGACUACAAGUUAAACGGCCGCGGUAUUUUGACCGUGCAAAGGUAGCGCAAUCACUUGUCUUUUAAAUGAAGACCUGUAUGAAUGGUGGAACGAGGGCUUAACUGUCUCCCUUUUCAAGUCAAUGAAAUUGAUCUGCCCGUGCAGAAGCGGGCAUAAACCUACAAGACGAGAAGACCCUUUGGAGCUUAAGAUAUCAAAGUCAACUAUGUCAAGAGCCCUAAAUCUAGGACUAAACUAAAUAGCAACUGACCCCUAUCUUCGGUUGGGGCGACCGCGGGAGAAAACAAAGCUCCCACGCGGACUGGGUUAUUACCUAAAACUAAGAGAGACAUCUCUAAGUCGCAGAACAUCUGACCAUAAAGAUCCGGCCAAUGCGCCGAUCAACGGACCAAGUUACCCUAGGGAUAACAGCGCAAUCCCCUUCCAGAGUCCAUAUCGACAAGGGGGUUUACGACCUCGAUGUUGGAUCAGGACAUCCUAAUGGUGCAGCCGCUAUUAAGGGUUCGUUUGUUCAACGAUUAAAGUCCUACGUGAUCUGAGUUCAGACCGGAGUAAUCCAGGUCAGUUUCUAUCUGUAAUGCUAUUCUUCCCAGUACGAAAGGACCGGAAAAAUGGGGCCCAUGUUUUAUAUACGCCCCACCCUAAUUUAAUGAAACCAACUAAAUUAGACAAAAGGAGAGCACAC
rnacentral:rRNA from 1 species